ACAUGUCAGUGUAUAGAGCACGAGAAAUUUUGAUUUUUUAAGAAGUGGUGGAAAUCCGCUAUGUGUAU
rnacentral:tRNA from 1 species